rnacentral:rRNA from 1 species
AUGAACGUUGGCGGCGUGGAUUAGGCAUGCAAGUCGAGCGCGAACCGAUUUCGGUCGGGGAAAGCGGCGAAAGGGAGAGUAAUGCGUAGGUACCUACCCUCGGGACCGGGAUAGCUACGGGAAACUGUAGGUAAUACCGGAUAACGUCUACGGACCAAAGGUGUGAUUCCGUCCGGGGAGGGGCCUGCGUCCGAUUAGCUAGUUGGUGGGGUAAUGGCCUACCAAGGCGACGAUCGGUACUGGGUGUGAGAGCAUGACCCAGCUCACUGGGACUGAGACACUGCCCAGACACCUACGGGUGGCUGCAGUCGAGAAUCUUCGGCAAUGGGCGCAAGCCUGACCGAGCGACGCCGCGUGCGGGAUGAAGGCCUUCGGGUUGUAAACCGCUGUCGGAGGUGAGGAAAUGCUAGGGGGUACUCCCCCUGGUUUGACCUAUCCUCGAAGGAAGUACGGGCUAAGUUCGU